CCCUUAGAUGUUCUGGGCCGCACGCGCGCUACACUGAUGCAUUCAACGAGUCUAAAACCUGGUCUGAUAGGGCUGGGUAAUCUUUUGAAUGUGCAUCGUGAUUGGGAUAGAUGAUUGCAAUUCUUCAUCUUCAACGAGGAAUGCCUAGUAAACGCAAGUCAUCAGCUUGCAUUGAUUACGUCCCUGCCCUUUGUACACACCGCCCGUCGCUCCUACCGAUUGAAUGUUCCGAUGAAUACCAUGGACUGAGAGUAUGAAUGGGUUCGUCUAUUUCUGCUUCUCGGGAAGUGGAGUAAAUCUUAACAUUUAGAGGAAGGAGAAGUCGUAACA
rnacentral:rRNA from 1 species